CGUCCUACGGGAGGCAGCAGUGAGGAAUAUUGGUCAAUGGGCGGAAGCCUGAACCAGCCAAGUCGCGUGAGGGAAGAAGGCCCUGCGGGUCGCAGACCUCUUUGGACGGGGAGCAAGGCCGCCGACGUGUCGGCGGAAGGAGAGUACCCGUAGAACAAGCAUCGGCUAACUCCGUGCCAGCAGCCGCGGUAAUACAGAGGUCUCAAGCGUUGUUCGGAAUCACUGGGCGUAAAGCGUGCGUAGGCUGUUUCGUAAGUCGUGUGUGAAAGGCGCGGGCUCAACCCGCGGACGGCACAUGAUACUGG
rnacentral:rRNA from 1 species